AGGACGAACGCUGGCGGCGUGCCUAACACAUGCAAGUCGAGCGGAGAUUGUAGCAAUACAAUCUUAGCGGCGGACGGGUGAGUAACGCGUGGGCAACCUGCCUUUUACAGGGGGAUAACACAGGGAAGCUUGUGCUAAUACCGCAUAACAUAUCGAUAUGGCAUCGUAUUGAUAUCAAAGGAGUAAUCCGGUAAAAGAUGGGCCCGCGUCCAAUUAGCUAGUUGGUGGUGUAAUGGACCACCAAGGCGACGAUUGGUAGCCGAACUGAGAGGUUGAUCGGCCACAUUGGGACUGAGACACGGCCCAGACUCCUACGGGAGGCAGCAGUGGGGAAUAUUGCGCAAUGGGGGAAACCCUGACGCAGCAACGCCGCGUGAAGGAUGAAGGCUUUCGGGUUGUAAACUUCUUUGAUGAGGGAAGAAUAAAUGACGGUACCUCAAAAACAAGCCACGGCUAACUACGUGCCAGCAGCCGCGGUAAUACGUAGGUGGCAAGCGUUGUCCGGAAUUACUGGGUGUAAAGGGCGUGUAGGCGGGAAUGUAAGUCAGAUGUGAAAUUCCGAGGCUCAACCUCGGCGCUGCAUCUGAAACUAUAUUUCUUGAGUGCUGGAGAGGAAAGCGGAAUUCCUAGUGUAGCGGUGAAAUGCGUAGAUAUUAGGAGGAACACCAGUGGCGAAGGCGGCUUUCUGGACAGUAACUGACGCUGAGGCGCGAAAGCGUGGGGAGCAGACAGGAUUAGAUACCCUGGUAGUCCACGCUGUAAACGAUGGAUACUAGGUGUAGGGGGUAUCGACCCCCCCUGUGCCGCAGUUAACACAAUAAGUAUCCCACCUGGGGAGUACGGCCGCAAGGUUG
rnacentral:rRNA from 1 species